UUUCUAGUAAACGGUGUGUACUUACAUUCCAAAAUUACAUCAACUCAAUAAUAAUAGCAUGAACACGUUUCUACCGUAAAGAUUCCGUCAAAGGCAACAUUACCACAGAGAACUGAAUGUUAAAAACUCCUGGAAUGCCAGUAAUGCUUGCAGGCAUCAGUGUCAACAUCUGCAGCUCAAGAGAGAGCAUGCUUAUCAUCAGCUGUAUUCUCUAUCCUGUCUGUGUCUAUAGUACGCUACACCACAGAUUCCUAAGACAAUGGACGGCUUCUACUGGCUCUGAAUAAUACACUACAAAGGAAUUCCGAGGUACCGGGAAUAAAAUCCAGGGGUCUCAGUGGUACUUUGUGUGUGUUAGGAUUAGUCACGCUAAUAUUUAGUCAUAAAUAAGUCAUAAAGGACGGCGAAUACAGUAAAAAAAAAAAAAAAAAAAAAUUGUGUUUCCGUAACCUUUUACACCCAUAUAAGCAGCCGUAGGACACGGAGAAGUACAGCUAGAAACUUGCUGCAGUGAAUCUGAAGGCAGAAGGCAGAGGAUCAGACAGAGCAGAGAGGAGGAGCUGUGGCCUUCAGAGUGCAUCCUGGAAGAGCAGUGAGAUGGGUUAAAAAACAAAAUCUGAUGGACUACUGAUCAAAAGGUUGUGAGGUUGAAUCCCAGGACCACCAAGCUGAAACUGCUGGGCCCCUGAGCAAGGCCCUUAUCCCUCAACUGUGAAAUUCUUUCUUGUCAUAUCCCAUCCUUGGAGGAUUGGGGUCAGAGUGCAUGGUCAGCCAUGAUGCGCUGCCUCUGGAGCAGGGGGGUUGAGGGCCUUGCUCAACGGCCCAACAGUGGAACCCAGAGCCUUAACCACUUGAGCCCUAUGCAGAAGAGAGCGUAAGAGGUUGAAUGAAUACCAUCACAUUUCUCUCCGAGUACAACUGGAAAUGCUUCUUUAGCAGCCCCUUUCCCGUGCUUGGCAUGACUGUUGUUGUUUUUUUUUUUUGUUUUUUUUUUUAAUAGUGUGGAACCCAGCAUGAAAUCAAAAAGCCCUUUUAGAAAUCAGGCCUCAUUAUGGUGGAGAAAAAGCAUAAAAUGUGUAAUUAAAACAUUCAGCUGGAUAUCCAGGACCUGGGGGCUGUAAAAAAAAUAAAUGCAUCAUAAAAUGCCACAACCUGUCAUUGGCCUCAAUCAGGCUCCUGCUGUUUUUUCACUCAGUUAGUGGAUUCAGUACAUGUGCGCACAGGCAAACACACACACACACACACAAAACAAGACAUACACACAGACACACAAAAAAUACAAAACACACAAAAAACAACACACACAAACAACAUAUGCACACAGAGACAAACACAAACACAACAGCACUCUCAAACACAAACAGCAUACACGCAAAACCAACACACACACAUUCAAACACACACAAACAGCAUACACACAAAAAACAACACACGCACAAACACAACACACACACAAAGAGCAUACACACAAACAAAACACAACACGCAUACACACAAACAAAACACAACACACAAACACCUUUCACACAAAAACAAAAACACACAAACAGCAUUCACACAAAAACAAAACACACAAACAGCAUGCACACAAAACCAAAACACACAAACAGCAUACACAAAACUCACAAACAAAACACAAACAGCAUACACACAAAAACAAAGCACACAAACAAACAUAACACGACACACACACAAGAACAAAAAAACACACAAACAAAGCACAAACCAAAACCAUGCACACAAAAACAAAACAAAUAAACACAAUACAACACACAUACACACAAACACAUACACACAAUCUCCACCACUAUAAGAACAGCUGCUAAACCCACAGUGCAAUAAGACUCAGGUGACACAUACCCUGGUCCAGAUCUCACUGUUUUCAUGACUUUGACGAUCAUAUUUGCACAAUCUGUUCUCUACACAUGCUGAUCAUUUGCAUUCUCACUACUACACAUGUACCACAGUUCAACAGACAUCACUACUAAAUCUACUGAGUACUGAAUCUACCUCAUCUUCACACAGCACCAAGAUCCUGAUAUUAUACACUUGUACACCUUAUUUAGUAUUAGAUCAAUUAUUUUUAUUUUCUUUAAUAAUAUAUGCAUUGAACUGUAUGUUGGCUGGAUUGCUACUAAAGUGACUUACGUUUACCUGUGCAAUGAUGAAUCUUAUCUUGUAUCAUAAGACUAAAAAACUCAUAUUUCGGGUGUAAGAGCUAUUAAACCACAUACUUUUUUUUAAUGGGACAAAACUUUCAUUUCAGCAUAUUUGAAUGGAUUUUGGCUUUAAUGCAUUUCUUUACCCGUGCCUAUGAGUUUUGCACAGUAUUCUAUAAAUUUAGGAAUAAAUAUUUUGGGUCGGAUUUUAGAUUCUAAUCUUUAAACCAAAUCUCUAUUACCCCUGCUGUUUAAAACACCACAUCAUACAACAUGUCAGAUGUUUAGUCCUUGAUAAAGAUGUUUAUGAUGUAGUGAUGUAGUGACUGAAACUGUUCUACUAUUUGCAAC